UACGUAGGGGGCUAGCGUUGUCCGGAAUUAUUGGGCGUAAAGAGCGUGUAGGCGGUCCGGUAAGUCAGCUGUGAAAGUCAAGGGCUCAACCCUUGAAUGCCGGUUGAUACUGUCGGGCUAGAGUCCGGAAGAGGCGAGUGGAAUUCCCGGUGUAGCGGUGAAAUGCGCAGAUAUCGGGAGGAACACCAAUGGCGAAGGCAGCUCGCUGGGACGGUACUGACGCUGAGACGCGAAAGCGUGGGGAGCAAAUAGG
rnacentral:rRNA from 1 species